rnacentral:rRNA from 1 species
AUUGAACGCUGGCGGCAGGCCUAACACAUGCAAGUCGAGCGGAUGAAGGGAGCUUGCUCCUGGAUUCAGCGGCGGACGGGUGAGUAAUGCCUAGGAGUCUGCCUGGUAGUGGGGGAUAACGUCCGGAAACGGGCGCUAAUACCGCAUACGUCCUGAGGGAGAAAGUGGGGGAUCUUCGGACCUCACGCUAUCAGAUGAGCCUAGGUCGGAUUAGCUAGUUGGUGGGGUAAAGGCCUACCAAGGCGACGAUCCGUAACUGGUCUGAGAGGAUGAUCAGUCACACUGGAACUGAGACACGGUCCAGAAUCCUACGGGAGGCAGGAGUGGGGAAUAUUGGACAAUGGGCGAAAGCCUGAUCCAGCCAUGCCGCGUGUGUGAAGAAGGUCUUCGGAUUGUAAAGCACUUUAAGUUGGGAGGAAGGGCAGUAAGUUAAUACCUUGCUGUUUUGACGUUACCAACAGAAUAAGCACCGGCUAACUUCGU